rnacentral:rRNA from 1 species
CCGACAGCUAAGGUCCCAAAGUACGUGUUAAGUGGAAAAGGAUGUGGGAUUUCAUAGACAACUAGGAUGUUGGCUUAGAAGCAGCCAUACAUUUAAAGAGUGCGUAAUAGCUCACUAGUCGAGAAAACCUGCGCCGAAAAUGUAACGGGGCUAAAACACGACACCGAAGCUACGGAUUCCUUACUAAGUAAGGAGUGGUAGAGGAGCAUCCUGCAAGGACGAAGCCAAAGUGAGAGCGAUGGUGGACGAAACAGGAGAGAGAAUGCCGGAAUGAGUAGCGAGAUACAUGUGAGAAACAUGUAGGCCGAAUAUCUAAGGAUUCCUGGGUAAAGCUAAUCUUCCCAGGGUUAGUCGGGGCCUAAGGCGAGGACGAAAGUCGUAGUCGAUGGAUAACAGGUUGAUAUUCCUGUACUACACAUAAUCAGAACUGUGGGGACGCAGGAGGAUAGGGAAACCGGGGAAUGGAAAGACCCGGUCAAGCGUAAAGCUGUGGGAGAUAGGCAAAUCCGUCUCCUGUAAGUGAAACGUGAUGAGGACUGAAAAAAAGUAAGGAAGUUUCCGAAUCCACACUGCCGAGAAAAGCCGCUAUUGCGUUAUGUGUACCCGUACCGUAAACCGACACAGGUAGAUGAGGAGAAAAUCCACAGGCCGACGGGAGAAGUGUUGUUAAGGAACUCGGCAAAAUGACCCCGUAACUUCGGGAUAAGGGGAGCCUCGCAAGAGGCCGCAGAAAAGAGGCACAAGCAACUGUUUAGCAAAAACAUAGGUCUAUGCGAAACCGUAAGGUGAAGUAUAUGGGCUGACGCCUGCCCGGUGCUGGAAGGUUAAAAGGAGAGGUCAGCGCAAGCGAAGCUUUGAAUUCAAGCCCCAGUAAACGGCGGCCGUAACUAUAACGGUCCUAAGGUAGCGAAAUUCCUUGUCAGGUAAGUUCUGACCCGCACGAAAGGCGUAAUGAUUUGUGCACUGUCUCGACAACACGCCCGGUGAAAUUGAAGAACCAGUGAAGAUACUGGUUACCCGCAACAGGACGGAAAGACCCCAUGGAGCUUUACUGCAGCCUGAUACUGGGAUUCGAUGAUAUAUGUACAGGAUAGGUGGGAGGCUAAGAAGCGAGAACGCUAGUUUUCGUGGAGCCGCCGGUGGGAUACCACUCUUAUGUCAUUGAAUUUCUAACCUGCAUCCGUAAUCCGGAUGAGGGACAAUGUCAGGCGGGCAGUUUGACUGGGGCGGUCGCCUCCUAAAAGGUAACGGAGGCGCUCGAAGGUCACCUCAGAAUGAUUGGAAACCAUUCAAAGAGUGUAAAGGCAAAAGGUGGCUUGACUGCGAGAGCGACGGCUCGAGCAGGUACGAAAGUAGGACUUAGUGAUCCGGUGGUAUUAAGUGGGAAUGCCAU